GAGGAAAGCGGGCGGCGUGCCUAAUACAUGCAAGUCGAGCGAACAGACGAGGAGCUUGCUCCUCUGACGUUAGCGGCGGACGGGUGAGUAACACGUGGAUAACCUACCUAUAAGACUGGGAUAACUUCGGGAAACCGGAGCUAAUACCGGAUAACAUGUUGAACCGCAUGGUUCAACAGUGAAAGACGGUCUUGCUGUCACUUAUAGAUGGAUCCGCGCCGCAUUAGCUAGUUGGUAAGGUAACGGCUUACCAAGGCAACGAUGCGUAGCCGACCUGAGAGGGUGAUCGGCCACACUGGAACUGAGACACGGUCCAGACUCCUACGGGAGGCAGCAGUAGGGAAUCUUCCGCAAUGGGCGAAAGCCUGACGGAGCAACGCCGCGUGAGUGAAGAAGGUCUUCGGAUCGUAAAACUCUGUUAUUAGGGAAGAACAAAUGUGUAAGUAACUAUGCACGUCUUGACGGUACCUAAUCAGAAAGCCACGGCUAACUACGUG
rnacentral:rRNA from 1 species